UUAACUGAGCUCUAGUCACGGCUCCCCAUGGGGUUAAGCAUAACUACAGAAUGAAUGUGGAGACUACUACCAGCUUCGUGAGGAUGUUUUGCAGUGGGAUGAGCGCACAAGCUUCACAUAAUUCAUGGAAGUGAAGGGACAACAUUCACACAGAUCACAUCCAGUGAUGGCAUCCUGCAUGGUCUCUAGAGAAUACCAGGUGCCAGAAACAGUGAUGGGAGAAGGUGGAGGUAAAUACAUCUUGUUGGCUGACUUCAUUCAUUCAGAGCCCCCACUCCCUGCUUGCUCAAGACAAUGUCUUUUUAUGUCAUUUGGAAGUGAUGGUUCAUGGCUGCUGUUAUGGUUAAGAGAGUGAAUAAAGCAGAUCACAGCUCUA